rnacentral:rRNA from 1 species
AGAGUUUGAUCCUGGCUCAGGAUGAAUGCUGGCGGUGUGCCUUAGGCAUGCAAGUCGAACGGGACUACUUUCGGGUAGUCUAGUGGCAAACGGGUGAGUACAACGCAGGAACGUACCUUUAUGUGGGGGAUAGCCAGCCGAAAGGCUGAUUAAUACCGCAUGUGUCCGCAAGGAUAAAGGAUUUAACUAUUCGCAUAAAGAGCGGCCUGUGCACUAUCAGCUAGUUGGUAAGGUAAAGGCUUACCAAGGCUACGACGGUUAGGGGGCGUGAGAGCGUGGCCCCCCACAAGGACACUGAGAUACGGGUCCUACACCUACGGGUGGCAGCAACCGGGAAUCUUCCGCAAUGGGCGAAAGCCUGACGGAGCGACACCGCGUGAAGGAUGAAGGCCUUCGGGUUGUAAACUUCUUUUAUAUGGGAAGAAGAUAGCGUAAGCUAUUUGACGGUACCAUACGAAUAAGCACCUGCUAACUACGUGCCAGAAGCCUCGGUAAUACGUAGGGUGCAAGCAUUAUCCGGAAUUACUGGGCGUAAAGAGUAUCGUAGGCGGUUUAGUAAGUGUGUAGUGAAAUCUUCGGGCUCAACCCGAAAACUGCUACGCAUACUGCUAAACUAGAGAGUAUCAGAGGAUGCUGGAAUUUUCGGUGGAGCAGUGAAAUGCGUUGAUAUCGAAAAGAACACCAAGGGCGAAGGCAGGCAUCUGGGAUAUUUCUGACGCUGAUGAACGAAAGCUAGGGGAGCAAAAGGGAUUAGAGACCCCUGUAGUCCUAGCUGUAAACGAUGUUCACUAGUUGGGUGUUUCAUUUAGAGUGCAAUUUUAUUGUGCUUUGAAUGAAAUGCCUGACGCAAGCUAACGCGUUAAGUGAACCGCCUGGGGAGUACGGCCGCAAGGCUAAAACUCAAAGGAAUUGACGGGGAGGCGCACAACCAGUGGAGCAUGUGGUUUAAUUCGAUAUGAAGCGUUGGACCUCACCUAGGUUUGACAUCCUGGUCGCAUCUUGGGGAAACUCGAGAGUCAUUUAGUAGGACCAGUGACAGUUGGUGCAUGGCUGUCGUCAGUUCGUGUCGUGAGACGUCCACUUAAGUGUGGUAACGAACGCAACCCGCAUCUUGUGUUAAAUGUUCACAAGAAACUGCCUCGCAACAAGCGGGGAGGAAGGAGCGGACGACGUCAAGUCAGCAUGCUACUUACACCUAGGGCAACACACAUCCUACAAUGGGACUGACAAUGGGUCGCCAAGCCGCGAGGUGGAGCUAAUCCCUUAAACGGUCCCUCAGUUCGGAUAACAGGCUGCAAUUCGCCUGUUUGAAGUUGGAAUUGGUAGUAAUCGCGGGUCAGCAGACCGCGGUGAAUACGUUCUCGCCUCUUGUACACACUGCCCGUCAAGCGAGGAGAGUUGGGGGUACCCGAAGACGUUUGCUUAACCCUUUUAGGGAUGGCGGCGUUGAAGGUAAACUCAGCGAUCAGCACUAAGUCGUAACAAGGUA